rnacentral:rRNA from 1 species
UACGUAGGGACCGAGCGUUGUCCGGAUUCAUUGGGCGUAAAGAGCUCGUAGGCGGCUGUUCAAGUCGAACGUGAAAACUCGGAGCUCAACUCCGAGCCUGCGUUCGAUACUGGACGGCUAGAGUCUGGUAGGGGGAUCGUGGAAUUCCUGGUGUAGCGGUGGAAGUGCGCAGAUAUCUGGAGGAACACCGGUGGCGAAGGCGGCAUCCUGGACCAACACUGACGCUGAGUGAGCGAAAGCCAGGGAGCAAACGGG